UAUGAUAUGUGCGCUUUGGUUGUAUGAGCAUGAUUUUCAGGUAUUUUGAUGAAUGACAAACAAUGAAGUCAAGUGUCAAACAACGAUAUAAUAUGACAAUCAAUCAAAUGGCGGGAAGCAUACUGAUGACGGAAUUGCAUGAACGAGCCAAAGAGUUCAAGACCGAAGACCCAAGACGUAGGUCGUUUGGUAGAACCAAUGUAAGGACAA
rnacentral:lncRNA from 1 species